rnacentral:lncRNA from 10 species
CAGGACAGCUCUGCAGAGUCAUCUUAGCUUCAGAGGAGCUCCCCGCAGGGCUGGCUGAGCUCUUUCCGCCUCAGCCUCCAGUUUGUUUGUUUUUCUUUUUUUUUUUUUUUUUUGAGAUGGAGUUUUGUUCUUGAUGCCCAGGCUGGACUGCAAUGGUGCCAUCUCUGCUCACUGCAAUCUCCGCCUCCCAGGUUCAAGCGAUUCUCCUGCCUCAGCCUCCUGAGUAGCUGGAAUUACAGGCAUGCACCACCAUGCACCACGAGCGCUGCGGACACUCGGGGCGGCAGUCGGUCUGUCAGUCCUCCCGCCAGGUCCCGCGGCCCGCACCUGCCGCCCGCACCUGCAGCUCCGCACCUGCGGCCAGUGCCUACUGCCCUCUCUUGCCGCCCGCACCU